AGGCAGCCAACAAGGCCUUUACUGACGCUAAAGCUCGAAGGUGCGGGUAUCGAACAGGAUUAGAUACCCUGGUAGUCCGCACGGUAAACGAUGGAUGCCCGCUGUUGGCGAUAUACUGUCAGCGGCCAAGCGAAAGCGUUAAGCAUCCCACCUGGGGAGUACGCCGGCAACGGUGAAACUCAAAGGAAUUGACGGGGGCCCGCACAAGCGGAGGAACAUGUGGUUUAAUUCGAUGAUACGCGAGGAACCUUACCCGGGCUUGAACUGCAGGAGAAGGAUACAGAGAUGUUGACGUCCUUCGGGACUCCUGUGGAGGUGCUGCAUGGUUGUCGUCAGCUCGUGCCGUGAGGUGUCGGCUUAAGUGCCAUAACGAGCGCAACCCUUUUCGCCAGUUUCCAUCAGGUGAUGCUGGGCACUCUGGGGAUACUGCCACCGUAAGGUGUGAGGAAGGUGGGGAUGACGUCAAAUCAGCACGGCCUUGACGUCCGGUGCUACAACCUGUGACAAGGGGGGGUACAGAGAGUGGGCGGCGCGCAAGUACGGUCCAAUCAUGAAAGCUCCCGUCAGGUCCGAUUCGGGUCUGCGACCCGACCCCACGAA
rnacentral:rRNA from 1 species